UCCUGGCUCAGGAUGAACGCUAGCGGCAGGCUUAAUACAUGCAAGUCGAGGGGCAGCAUGACUGUAGCAAUACAGUUGAUGGCGACCGGCAAACGGGUGCGGAACACGUACAGAACCUUCCUUCGAGCGGGGAAUAGCCCAGAGAAAUUUGGAUUAAUACCCCAUAGUAUAUUAGAGUGGCAUCACUUUGAUAUUAAAGAUUUAUCACUUGAAGAUGGCUGUGCGGCUGAUUAGGUAGUUGGCGGGGUAACGGCCCACCAAGCCUUCGAUCAGUAACUGGUGUGAGAGCACGACCAGUCACACGGGCACUGAGACACGGGCCCGACUCCUACGGGAGGCAGCAGUAAGGAAUAUUGGUCAAUGGACGAAAGUCUGAACCAGCCAUGCCGCGUGGAGGAUGAAGGUCCUCUGGAUUGUAAACUUCUUUUAUAUGGGACGAAAAAAGGGUUUUCUAACUCGUCUGACGGUACCAUAUGAAUAAGCACCGGCUAACUCCGUG
rnacentral:rRNA from 1 species